ensembl:lncRNA
CUCAGCCUGCACACCAGUCUUUGCAGAAAUGGAAGCCUGCUCAUGUAUGAGCUGCAGCAUCCUCAGGGCCUGUCCUUAGUGCUGCUGGAGGAGUGAGCAGAAGGAAAUGACAUCUGUGCCAGAUGGAGAAACCUGAACGUGGAGGCUUCAGAACUUCCCCCCAGAGGACAAGGAAUUAAAGGAACUUCGUCUUGUGAACCAAAGUCACGUGUCGGCUGUUAUCAGGUUAUGGUCUCACAUCCACUUGAGUAGCAGUAACUGAAUAAUUGAAUGUUCCCCUUGAACCAAAUAGUUUGCUCCUGGAAUUACAGCAGAUACUCCCUUCAAUGGCACCUUAAUGGUUACACAGGGCACUGAGGAAGGCUCAAACCUUCAUAACUACAGUACAGCUCCCUCCAUCCAGGUACACUGGGCGUUUGGCAUUCAUACGAAGUUUCUUUGGCAGGCACUGCUUACCAUUUCCUCAUAUUAACAUCUAUCACAAAGAAAUCUCAUCUUCGGGCUCCAGCAGCCUAAUGGCUUCCUUCAGCAUCUGAAUACAUCAACAGCUGUGGCUUCAGCCAUUUUGUCUGACCAAACUGAGAGCGGCCCAAAACCUGCUUCUGCACCAGGAGGGGAUAAAGGAGCCUCUUCUUCUGCAGAGAAGGCUUCCCACAAAACAUACAGAAUUGCAAACAUAAUUCUUCCUUCUCUCCACAGUCCUGAUCGCAGCAAUCUGAAGGCAGAAUGUUUACUCAAAAGGGAGUAUGUCUUUAAACAUCACAAGGCGUGCUUACAGCACUGUGCUGCACAGACAUUGUGUAUCAGAGUACGUGUCUGUGCCACAGAUGAGGCGAUGAUGUCAGCUGAAAAUGCCCUUGUGCCCAGCUGGCAGCAGUGCUGGUGUGCAGCCCUGCUGUGCUGUCACUGUGCUGCUGAGAGCUGCUGCUGCUGGGAAGGGCCAUUCUGUGACACUGCACUUCUGUCUCCUGCUUUCAUGCUAUUUCAGUGCUCUCUGUCUUUGCUCAUGCUGUUCAGCGUGCAGACCUAGCAGAAAGCCUUGAAGGCAGUAAAUUGUCAGAGCAGUCUGGACUUGCAAUGAGCUAUUUUAUGACCAAGUACAGAAAUUCUUCACUUCUUAUUUCAUUC